GCUAAAUGCCCAGAGAAGGUCGGGAUCGUUGGGAAAGAUUGCACCGGCUGUGAUACCUCACUCUGGAAAAAUGAGGAAGAAAAUUAAAAUCAGCCAGCAUACCUUCUGUGGCAAGACAGAGAUGAAGAGAUGAGCCAUUGGUAUCUGGAACUGUGGUUCUUGCAGGAAAACAGUGGUUGGCAGGGCCAGAACCUAUAGCACCACUUCUGCAGUCACAGUGAAAUCUGCCAUUAGAAGACUGAAGGGACUG
rnacentral:lncRNA from 1 species